GACGGAGGAUGCAAGCGUUAUCCGGAAUGAUUGGGCGUAAAGCGUCCGCAGGUGGCAGUUCAAGUCUGCUGUCAAAGACCGGGGCUUAACUUCGGAAAGGCAGUGGAAACUGAACAGCUAGAGUAUGGUAGGGGCAGAGGGAAUUCCUGGUGUAGCAGUGAAAUGCGUAGAUAUCAGGAAGAACAUCGGUGGCGAAGGCGCUCUGCUGGACCAUAACUGACACUCAGGGACGAAAGCUAGGGGAGCGAAUGGG
rnacentral:rRNA from 1 species